GUUAAUAGUCUUUUUUUUUUUUUUUCUAUCCCAUAUUCUUUCCAGUUUCUUGAGAAUAUGGAGUUGCAUCUGGUUGAUGCUAGGGGUGGGCUAGAGCUGUGAAUAUGAACUGCUUAGGCAAAACAAGUUACCUUGAAUUCAGAUAAACUUCCAUGUUUGCUCUGUUUCUGACAUUUUUUGUUCCAACUAGUGUUAUAAAACAGUUGUGUAAAAUAAGUACUAGUUCUGGCUUUAGUUACAGCUGUCUUUUCAGGCUGAGAGCUAAGCAGCAUCAUCAGGGUUUAGAGAAGCAAGCUUCAAGAUUGCUUAAAGAUAGAUUGUAGGACCAAGAUACAGGGAAGUUGCUUUGGAAAUGCAAAACUGGUGCAUGCCAUAAGUAGAAGUUUGUCUCAUAUUGUUUCUCAGCUGAGUAAGUGGCUGAUUUUCAUCUUGGAGUUGUGUAACAUUAUUUCUGCAGCAAUACCAUUGGGAUACCAACUGCUGAAUUUUCUUGGGAAAAAAAGAGUGCCAUGGGGCCCUUCCAUCAUGGUAAUGGGACAGAGUUUAUCUCUGGUACCAGAGUGGGGAGCUGUGGUCACCUUGCCUGGAUCAUGCAAAAGGUGAAGAGCAGAGGCCCAUCUUCCAUCACUUGGCUCCCUGCUGUGGGCACCUGCUCCCUGUGUGGCAUAAGGAGGUGAACUGGAUGUUCUUUAAAGAGGACCAGAAAUAACAUCAGCCCUUCUAUUCCAUCAGAGGACUUGCCCACUGGAAACUGGAGCAGCAUUUAUCCUUGAAGAAUUUCCUGCAGUAGUUGUUCUUCCUCUCAACUCAUGUACCCAUCUGCUGGGACAGAGGACCACACAUGAUCUACACUGCUGAAUCAGAGUGUA